CCCCCAGCGGAAAAAUGGCCAAAAAACGGUGGGCUAUAGCCUUGGUGGGGUGCGUGGGCGAAGUUCGUCCGCGGGACUCGGAAUGGCACCAGACUUGGCGGGCGGCCUCCGUGUGCCAAAAAUAGGCCACGGGCACAGCCGCGCCCAAAAAACAGCCCCCGAUGUUCGGGGUCCCAAGACCCCCCAGCGGAAAAAUGGCCAAAAAACGGGUGGGCUAUAUGUCAUGGCCCAAGCUUCCACAUGGCCUGGCCCAUGGAGAAUUCUAGAGCCAUGGAGACUUGUGUAGAGCAUGUAGAUAUUUCCAUUGUAAUUAAUGUGUUUAUGUAACUCUAGAGACUCUCUAGAUACUUCUUUGUACCCUAUAAAUCGGAGAAGGCCUCAUUUGGCCAAAUCAAUCAAAAAGCAAUAUACAAUUCCAGCACACAUAGCUUUGUAAGCAUUCUAUCGAGCAAUAUAAGUUCUUUCCUCCCAUACUUUGUGAGUUAGAGUGAUUCCUUUUUCCGCUUCUCGAAUCCAGCAACAGAUUUGGGUGUAAGGCUGACUUAGGGCCAAUAGAGUGCGAAUUUGGCGCCUAAGGCCGCACGGCAUAGCGUGGGAACAAUCCGGGCCGUGACAGUUGGUAUCAGAGCCGUCUACACUCGUGGGUAGUUGCGUUGUUCGAAAGGAAGGAUGUCAGAGAGCACUCAUGAUGACCAAAGGGGAAGGGAGCCUAACCCCAAUGCGAAGAAGGGGAAAAACAGCAAGGAGAAGUCAGUGGACUUGCUCAACGCCAUGGAGAAUCGGAUUUUCCGUGGGGAGAUUGCUGUCGCCGAGAUUAAUGAACGCCUCGAGAUCUUUGAGCAAAAGAUGGAGGAGGUGGAUGAUCUUGGUGAGCGGAUGGGCGAUCUAAGCCAAGAUGUGGUGGCGCAACGCCAAAGCCUUGAGGAGUUCCAAGCGGUGGUUCUGAACUCUAUUGAGGCGCUCAGGGCUCAAGUGGAGGAGCUUCACACGGGCCUUGAAGAGACUAAGAUGGAUUGGGCGCUUUGCAAGAAGGCGGUGGCCAGCGGGGUGCUCAACACCAAUGCCGCACUUCCAAUGAGGGUCGAGGUUCCGAGACCAAGGAGGUACGGGGGCAAGCGGGAUGCCCAGGAGAUCGAGAACUUCUUGUGGUCCAUGGAGAGGUACUUCGAGGCCACCAACAUCCAAGGUGAGCAAGAGAAGGUGAACAUUGCGACCGGGUACCUUGAGGAUCACGCGACCGCUUGGUGGCAGCGGAAGCAUGCAGAGAUUGUGCGCGGGACGUGCAUCAUCAACACAUGGGACUUGCUGAAGUGCGAGCUCAAGAGGCAAUUCUUUCCAGGGAAUGUGGCAUAUGAGGCUCGCAAGAAGAUGCGGGAGCUGAAGCACACGGGGCCUAUCUCAAAGUAUGUCGAUGAAUUCUCGAAGCUCAUGCUUCAAAUCGACAACAUGAACACAGAUGAUUUGCUGUUCAACUUCAUGGAGGGACUCCAGCCGUGGGCACAACGGGAGUUGCAGCGGCGCCAAGUGAAUGACAUCUCUACAGCCCUCACCGAGGCUGACACGCUUGUGGAAUUCCGGAAGGGUGAGUCUUCCAAGCCAAAGAAGGAUGAUAAGCCGCAACAUGGCAAAGGUGGGGGAGCGAAGGGAGAUAAGCCGCACCAUGAUGGCAAGGAUAAGCCACAAAAGAAGGAGGGCCCGAAGGAUGGUUCAAAGGAUGGCAAGAAGGAGGCUAAGCGGAAACACAAUUGCUUCCUUUGCGAUGGGGACCAUUGGGUGCGGGACUGCCCAAAGAAGAAGGCUUUCAACGCCAUGUUUAGCGAGACCGGGGAGAAGCAACCGGAGACACCACCAGCGGAUGCCGCCAACAUGGGUUGUCUCCAACUUUUCAAUGCACUAAAUGCCAAGCCAAUUCCAGCCAAGGUGCAGGACAAGUCACUCAUGCACGUUGAGGCUAUGAUCAAUGGAAAGCGAGCCCAAGCCUUGAUUGACACGGGAGCGUCCCACAACUUCAUCAAGGUAGAUGAAGCCAAGCGGCUUGGACUCAAGGUUGAGAAAUCAGAUGGCUGGCUCAAGACGGUGAAUUCGGAGGCCAAACCACUUAGCGGGGUAGCGCGAGAUGUGGAGCUACACCUAGGCCCUUGGCGAGGUAAGGCCAAUUUCUCGAUUGUACCUUUGGAUGAUUUUACACUUGUUUUGGGCAUGGAAUUUUUGCGACAGUUCAAUGCGGUGCCACUUCCGAGGUACAACUCAAUGUGUAUCCUAGAGGGAGCCCCAUGCUUGGUCCCGACCGCGAGUAAGGUCACACCACCAGGCCAACUUUCCGCCAUGCAAAUCAGCAAAGGUUGCAAGCGGCAUGAGGACACAUUUCUCGCCACCAUUCAUGAGGUUGGUGACGGGAAGGACACUAUGGCCAUGGAGCCCAUACCGGAGGCGGUAGGCCAAGUCCGUGAGGCGUAUGAGGACGUAAUGCCACCCGAGUUGCCAAAGCGGUUGCCGCCACGAAGGGAAGUAGACCACAAGAUUGAGCUGGAGCCGGGUGCCAAACCGCCUGCACGAGCACCUUACCGCAUGUCUCCACCGGAGCUAGAGGAGUUGCGGAGGCAAAUUAAGGAGCUGCUGGACGCAGGAUACAUCCAGCCCUCGAAAGCACCAUACGGAGCACCGGUGCUGUUCCAGCGGAAGCAUGAUGGCUCACUUCGACUAUGUAUCGACUACCGGGCUCUUAACAAGGUGACCGUGAAGAACAAAUACCCCAUCCCACUGAUUGCGGACUUGUUCGAUCAACUUGGACGGGCCAAAUAUUUCUCCAAGCUGGACCUUAGAUCGGGAUAUUACCAAGUACGGAUUGCGGAGGGAGAUGAGCCGAAGACCGCUUGUGUGACGAGGUAUGGAGCGUACGAGUUCAAGGUAAUGCCUUUCGGCCUCACCAAUGCUCCAGCCACAUUUUGCACGCUCAUGAACCGCAUAUUCCAGCCAUACCUUGAUCAGUUUGUAGUGGUGUAUCUUGAUGACAUCGUGGUCUAUAGCAACACCUUGGCGGAACAUGCUGAGCACUUGCGGGUCGUGUUCGGGGUGUUGCGGGAAAAUGAGCUGUAUGUGAAGAGGGAGAAGUGUUCGUUCGCAAAACUGGAGGUGGAUUUUCUUGGCCAUAAAAUCAGAGAUGGGACGAGCCAUUGCCGAAUGGGAGCCGCCCACAAAGGUGACUGAGUUGCGCUCUUUCUUAGGACUUGCCAACUAUUAUCGGAGGUUCAUUAGAGGUUAUUCCGCCAUUGCCGCACCACUCACUGAUUUGCUCAAAAAGACUACCAAGUGGGAAUGGACGGAAAGGAGCCAGCAAGCCUUCGAUGCCCUCAAGAAGGUCGUGAUGGAAGAGCCGGUACUUGUGCUGCCAAACCAUGACUUACCAUUUGAGGUACACACUGAUGCUUCCGAUUUUGCUAUUGGAGGUGUGUUGAUGCAGGCCGAACAUCCAAUAGCCUUUGAGAGCCGAAAGCUCAACGAUACGGAGCGGCGGUACACGGUACAAGAGAAGGAGAUGACGGCAGUAGUGCACUGCUUGCGCACAUGGAGGCACUACUUGCUUGGGUCCAAGUUCGUGGUGAAGACGGACAACGUGGCCACUAGUUACUUCCAAAGCCAAAAGAAGCUUAGUCCGAAGCAAGCGAGAUGGCAAGAUUUCUUGGCCGAAUUCGACUACGUGCUGGAGUAUAAGCCCGGAAAGGCUAAUUUGGUAGCGGACGCCUUGAGUCGGAAGGUCGAGCUUGCUGCCAUGAGUCGGAUACAAGGAGAGCUUCUUACACUCAUCAAGGAGGGGACGGAGCAUGAUCCCUUGGCCAAGCAGCUGGUUUCUCUCGUACAACAGGGGAAAUCGAAGAGGUUUUGGGUCGAAGAUGGCCUUUUAUACACCAAGGGACGGCGUGUCUAUGUUCCGAAGUGGGGAAACUUGCGGCGGAACUUGAUCAAGGAGUGUCAUGAUACGAAGUGGGCUGGACACCCGGGACAAAGGCGGACACGGGCAUUGCUUGAGUCGGCAUACUAUUGGCCUCAGAUGCGGGAUGAAGUGGAGCAGUUCGUGCGGACGUGCUUAGUGUGCCAACAGGACAAAACAGAGCAACAAUGUCCCGCGGGGUUGCUUGAGCCACUGCCCACUCCGGAUCGACCGUGGGAGAGUAUAUCGAUGGAUUUCAUCACUUGUCUUCCAAAAUCGGAGGGGUUUGCGACUAUUGUUGUGGUGGUGGACAGAUUCUCGAAAUAUGCCACUUUCAUUCCUGCCCCGAAGGAGUGCACAGCGGAGGACACAGCCAAGUUUUUCUUUAGGCACGUGGUGAAGUAUUGGGGACUUCCGAAAUCCAUCAUUAGCGACCGCGACAGCCGGUUUACGGGGAGGUUUUGGACUGAGUUGUUCAAGCUUAUGGGGUCGGUGCUGCACUUUUCUACGAGCUUUCAUCCACAAACCGAUGGGCAAACGGAGAGGGUGAAUGCCUUGUUGGAGCUGUACUUACGGCAUUUUGUGAGCGCCAACCAGCAUGACUGGGCAAAGUUGCUGGACGUGGCCCAAUUUUCGUACAACUUGCAGCGGAGUGAGGCUACAUCGAGGAGCCCUUUUGAGGUGAUCAUGGGACAGCAGCCGCUUACACCACACACGCUCAUCACGAGCUAUACCGGGAGGUGUCCUGCAGCAUAUAAAGUGGCUAAGUCAUGGCAUGAGCAAACAGACAUAGCACGGGCGCACCUCGACAAAGCAACCAAGCGGAUGAAGAAAUAGGCAGAUAGCAAGCGUAGACACUUGGAGUUCAACGUGGGGGACAUGGUGCUAGUCAAGAUCGUUCCAGCCCAGCACAAGUCCACACGUUCGCUGCACAAGGGCCUCAUCCGGAAAUACGAGGGGCCAUUUCCCAUCAUCAAGAGGGUCGGCAAUGUGUCGUACAAGUUAGAGUUACCCUCUUGGCGAAAACUCCAUCCGGUCUUCCACGUGAGUUCCUUGAAGCCAUUCCAUGGGGAUACGGAAGAUCCGAAAAGGGGAGAAUCCAAGCGCCCUCCACUGGGCAACACAAGGGUCUAUGACAAAGAAGUGGAGGCCAUUUUGGCUGACCGUGUGCUUCGGAAGAAGAGUUUUCCACCAUGCCAAGAGUACUUUGUCAAAUGGAAGGGACUACCCGAGAGCGAAACAAGUUGGGAGCCCGCAUAUGAUUUGUGGCAGUUCCAAGACAAGAUCAAAGCCUUCCACAGCGAGUCGACGAGGACGUCUCCGGAAUAGGUGGGGGAGAAUGUCAUGGCCCAAGCUUCCACAUGGCCUGGCCCAUGGAGAAUUCUAGAGCCAUGGAGACUUGUGUAGAGCAUGUAGAUAUUUCCAUUGUAAUUAAUGUGUUUAUGUAACCCUAGAGACUCUCUAGAUACUUCUUUGUACCCUAUAAAUAGGAGAAGGCCUCAUUUGGCCAAAUCAAUCAAAAAGCAAUAUACAAUUCCAGCACACAUAGCUUUGUAAGCAUUCUAUCGAGCAAUAUAAGUUCUUUCCUCCCAUACAUUGUGAGUUAGAGUGAUUCCUUUUUCCGCUUCUCGAAUCCAGCAACAGAUUUGGGUGUAAGGCUGACUUAGGGCCAAUAGAGUGCGAAUUUGGCGCCUAAGGCCGCACGGCAUAGCGUGGGAACAAUCCGGGCCGUGACAUAUAGCCCACCCGUUUUUUGGCCAUUUUUCCGCUGGGGGGUUUUGGCACCACGACCUUGCGAGGGGCCUCGGGGUGCCAAAAAUAAGCCGCGGACAAAGCCGCGCCGAAAAAUAAGCGCCCGAAGGUCGUGGUGCCAAAACCCCCCAGCGGAAAAAUGGCCAAAAAACGGGUGGGCUAUAGCCUUGGUGGGGGGCGCGGGCGAAGUUCGUCCGCCGGACUCGGAAUGGGGCGAGACUUUGCGAGGGGCCUCGGGGUGCCCGCGGAAAGUCGCGGGCAAAGCCGCGCCCAAAAAUAAGCGCCCGAAGGUCGUGGUGCCAAAACCCCCCAGCGGAAAAAUGGCCAAAACACGGUGGGCUAUAGCCUUGGUGGGGUGCGUGGGCGAAGUUCGUCCGCGGGACUCGGAAUGGCACCAGACUUGGCGGGCGGCCUCCGUGUGCCAAAAAUAGGCCACGGGCACAGCCGCGCCCAAAAAACAGCCCCCGAAGUUCGGGGUCCCAAGACCCCCCAGCGGAAAAAUGGCCAAAAAACGGGUGGGCUAUAGCCUUGGUGGGGGGCGUGGGCGAAGUUCGUCCGCGGGACUCGGAAUGGCACCAGACUUGGCGGGCGGCCUCCGUGUGCCAAAAAUAGGCCACGGGCACAGCCGCGCCCAAAAAACAGCCCUCGAAGUUCGGGGUCCCAAGACCCCCCAGCGGAAAAAUGGCCAAAAAACGGUCGGCUAUAGCCUUGGUGGGGGGCGUGGGCGAAGGUCGUCCGCGGGACUCGGAAUGGCACCAGACUUGGCGGGCGGCCUCCGUGUGCCAAAAAUAGGCCACGGGCACAGCCGCGCCCAAAAAACAGCCCCCGAAGUUCGGGGUCCCAAGACCCCCCAGCGGAAAAAUGGCCAAAAAACGGUGGGCUAUAGCCUUGGUGGGGUGCGUGGGCGAAGUUCGUCCGCGGGACUCGAAAUGGCACCAGACUUGGCGGGCGGCCUCCGUGUGCCAAAAAUAGGCCACCGGCACAGUCGCGCCCAAAAAACAACCCCCGAAGUUCGGGGUCCCAAGACCCCCCAGCGGAAAAAUGGCCAAAACACGGUGGGCUAUAGCCUUGGUGGGGUGCGUGGGCGAAGUUCGUCCGCGGGACUCGGAAUGGCACCAGACUUGGCAGGCGGCCUCCGUGUGCCAAAAAUAGGCCACGGGCACAGCCGC
rnacentral:lncRNA from 1 species